rnacentral:rRNA from 4 species
GUGGAUUAGUGGCGAACGGGUGAGUAACACGUGGGCAAUCUGCCCUUCACUCUGGGACAAGCCCUGGAAACGGGGUCUAAUACCGGAUAAUACUUUCUCUCUCAUGGGGGAAGGUUAAAAGCUCCGGCGGUGAAGGAUGAGCCCGCGGCCUAUCAGCUAGUUGGUGGGGUAAUGGCCUACCAAGGCGACGACGGGUAGCCGGCCUGAGAGGGCGACCGGCCACACUGGGACUGAGACACGGCCCAGACUCCUACGGGAGGCAGCAGUGGGGAAUAUUGCACAAUGGGCGAAAGCCUGAUGCAGCGACGCCGCGUGAGGGAUGACGGCCUUCGGGUUGUAAACCUCUUUCAGCAGGGAAGAAGCGAAAGUGACGGUACCUGCAGAAGAAGCGCCGGCUAACUACGUGCCAGCAGCCGCGGUAAUACGUAGGGCGCAAGCGUUGUCCGGAAUUAUUGGGCGUAAAGAGCUCGUAGGCGGCUUGUUGCGUCGGUUGUGAAAGCCCGGGGCUUAACCCCGGGUCUGCAGUCGAUACGGGCAGGCUAGAGUGUGGUAGGGGAGAUCGGAAUUCCUGGUGUAGCGGUGAAAUGCGCAGAUAUCAGGAGGAACACCGGUGGCGAAGGCGGAUCUCUGGGCCAUUACUGACGCUGAGGAGCGAAAGCGUGGGGAGCGAACAGGAUUAGAUACCCUGGUAGUCCACGCCGUAAACGUUGGGAACUAGGUGUUGGCGACAUUCCACGUCGUCGGUGCC